rnacentral:tRNA from 1 species
GGCCCGGUGGCAGAGUGGUGAUGCAGAGGACUGCAAAUCCUUGUACGUCGGUUCGAUUCCGGCCCGGGCCU